rnacentral:rRNA from 1 species
GACGAACGCUGGCGGCGUGCUUAACACAUGCAAGUCGAACGGAAAGGCCCUGCUUUUGUGGGGUGCUCGAGUGGCGAACGGGUGAGUAACACGUGAGUAACCUGCCCUUGACUUUGGGAUAACUUCAGGAAACUGGGGCUAAUACCGGAUAGGAGCUCCUGCUGCAUGGUGGGGGUUGGAAAGUUUCGGCGGUUGUGGAUGGACUCGCGGCUUAUCAGCUUGUUGGUGGGGUAGUGGCUUACCAAGGCUUUGACGGGUAGCCGGCCUGAGAGGGUGACCGGCCACAUUGGGACUGAGAUACGGCCCAGACUCCUACGGGAGGCAGCAGUGGGGAAUAUUACACAAUGGGCGGAAGCCUGAUGCAGCAACGCCGCGUGCGGGAUGACGGCCUUCGGGUUGUAAACCGCUUUCGCCUGUGACGAAGCGUGAGUGACGGUAAUGGGUAAAGAAGCACCGGCUAACUACGUG